rnacentral:rRNA from 1 species
UACAGAGGGUGCAAGCGUUAAUCGGAAUUACUGGGCGUAAAGGGCUCGUAGGUUGUUAAGUAAGUCAGAUGUGAAAUCCCUGGGCUCAACCUAGGAAUUGCAUAUGAUACUGUUUAGCUAGAGUAUGGUAGAGGGAAGUGGAAUUUCUGGUGUAGCGGUGAAAUGCGUAGAGAUCGGGAGGAACAUCUGUGGCGAAGGCGGCCAUCUGGACCAGCACUGACACUGAGGCACGAAGGCCAGGGGAGCAAACGGG